rnacentral:rRNA from 1 species
AACGUAGGACACAAGCGUUAUCCGGAGUUACUGGGCGUAAAGGGCGUGUAGGCGGACCUAUAAGUCUAUUCUGAAAGCUCCUGGCUAAACUGGGAGAGGCGAAUGGAGACUGUAGAUCUAGAGUGAGGAAGAGGAAAGUGGAAUUCCGCGUGUAGUGGUGAAAUGCGUAGAGAUGGCGGAAGGAACACCAUGUGGCGGAAAGCGAACUUUCUGGUCCUUAACUG